rnacentral:rRNA from 1 species
UAAAGAAAGCGUAAUAGCUCACUGGUCGAGUCGGCCUGCGCGGAAGAUGUAACGGGGCUAAACCAUGCACCGAAGCUGCGGCAGCGACACUAUGUGUUGUUGGGUAGGGGAGCGUUCUGUAAGCCUGUGAAGGUGUGUCGUGAGGCAUGCUGGAGGUAUCAGAAGUGCGAAUGCUGACAUAAGUAACGAUAAAGCGGGUGAAAAGCCCGCUCGCCGGAAGACCAAGGGUUCCUGUCCAACGUUAAUCGGGGCAGGGUGAGUCGACCCCUAAGGCGAGGCCGAAAGGCGUAGUCGAUGGGAAACGGGUUAAUAUUCCCGUACUUGGUGUUACUGCGAAGGGGGGACGGAGAAGGCUAUGUUGGCCGGGCGACGGUUGUCCCGGUUUAAGCGUGUAGGCUGGUUUUCCAGGCAAAUCCGGAAAAUCAAGGCUGAGGCGUGACGACGAGGCACUACGGUGCUGAAGCAACAAAUGCCCUGCUUCCAGGAAAAGCCUCUAAGCAUCAGGUAACAUCAAAUCGUACCCCAAACCGACACAGGUGGUCAGGUAGAGAAUACCAAGGCGCUUGAGAGAACUCGGGUGAAGGAACUAGGCAAAAUGGUGCCGUAACUUCGGGAGAAGGCACGCUGACACGUAGGUGAAGUGAUUUACUCAUGGAGCUGAAGUCAGUCGAAGAUACCAGCUGGCUGCAACUGUUUAUUAAAAACACAGCACUGUGCAAACACGAAAGUGGACGUAUACGGUGUGACGCCUGCCCGGUGCCGGAAGGUUAAUUGAUGGGGUCAGCGCAAGCGAAGCUCCUGAUCGAAGCCCCGGUAAACGGCGGCCGUAACUAUAACGGUCCUAAGGUAGCGAAAUUCCUUGUCGGGUAAGUUCCGACCUGCACGAAUGGCGUAAUGAUGGCCAGGCUGUCUCCACCCGAGACUCAGUGAAAUUGAACUCGCUGUGAAGAUGCAGUGUACCCGCGGCAAGACGGAAAGACCCCGUGAACCUUUACUAUAGCUUGACACUGAACAUUGAGCCUUGAUGUGUAGGAUAGGUGGGAGGCUUUGAAGUGUGGACGCCAGUCUGCAUGGAGCCGACCUUGAAAUACCACCCUUUAAUGUUUGAUGUUCUAACGUGGACCCGUGAUCCGGGUUGCGGACAGUGUCUGGUGGGUAGUUUGACUGGGGCGGUCUCCUCCUAAAGAGUAACGGAGGAGCACGAAGGUUGGCUAAUCCUGGUCGGACAUCAGGAGGUUAGUGCAAUGGCAUAAGCCAGCUUGACUGCGAGCGUGACGGCGCGAGCAGGUGCGAAAGCAGGUCAUAGUGAUCCGGUGGUUCUGAAUGGAAGGGCCAUCGCUCAACGGAUAAAAGGUACUCCGGGGAUAACAGGCUGAUACCGCCCAAGAGUUCAUAUCGACGGCGGUGUUUGGCACCUCGAUGUCGGCUCAUCACAUCCUGGGGCUGAAGUAGGUCCCAAGGGUAUGGCUGUUCGCCAUUUAAAGUGGUACGCGAGCUGGGUUUAGAACGUCGUGAGACAGUUCGGUCCCUAUCUGCCGUGGGCGCUGGAGAACUGAGGGGGGCUGCUCCUAGUACGAGAGGACCGGAGUGGACGCAUCACUGGUGUUCGGGUUGUCAUGCCAAUGGCACUGCCCGGUAGCUAAAUGCGGAAGAGAUAAGUGCUGAAAGCAUCUAAGCACGAAACUUGCCCCGAGAUGAGUUCUCCCUGAGACUUAAAGUCUCCUGAAGGAACGUUGAAGACGACGACGUUGAUAGGCCGGGUGUGUAAGCGCAGCGAUGCGUUGAGCUAACCGGUACUAAUGAACCGUGAGGCUUAACCUU